CAUUGGUAGAAAAUAAUGUGUUUUCAAUAGUACCAGCACCAGAAGACAAGAAAGUGUUGGGGUGCAGGUGGUUAUAUCGAGUGAAGUAUUCUCAAGAUGGGCAGGUUAUUAGAAAAGCCAGAUUGGUAGCAAAGGGAUUUGGUCAAGUGAAGUUUAAUGACUAUCANGAAUCAUUUGCUCCAACUCUGAAAGCUGAAUCAUUGAGGCUUGCAUUAGUUGUUGCAGGCUGUAAACAAAUGAGAAUACACCAUCUGGAUUUUGUCACGGCCUAUCUGAAUGCUCCGCUGAUGGAGGAGAUCUAUAUGGCCCAAAUUCCUGGUUUUGAGUGUGGGGAACCACAUAAAGUAUUAAAGUUAAAAAGGGCUCUAUAUGGGUUAAAACAGUCUGCAUUGGCGUGGCAUUCCACAUUAAGUGAAGCUCUAAAACAAAAGGGAUUUGAACAGAGCAUUGCCNAUCCCUGUGUAUUCAAAAGAAAGGUACAAAACAAAUGGUGUUAUCUCAUUAUUUUUGUUGAUGACAUUUUAUAUAUGUUCGAGGAAAUUAAUCAGUUACAAUGGCUGCUAGAUACAUUGACUAAAAUGUUCAAAGUCAAACAUCUGGGACCGGUGAAAUUCUAUCUUGGUAUAGAUAUAGAAAGAAACCAGAAAGGAUGUUUUGAAUUAAACCNGAAAAAGAAAAUAAAAGAAUUGCUGAAGAAGUGGAAAAUGGAAGAUGCUAAAACUGNAGCAUAUCCUAUGACCACAAGCUACUUAAAAGACCAGUCUGAUGAAAGGUUUGAAGAUGUAAAAAUGUAUCAGUCAUUAGUAGGGUCAUUACUUUACUUAGCAUGCUGGACCAGGCCUGAUUUAUGUUGGUGUGUACAGGUGCUUUGUAAGCAAUGUCACAAUCCUUGUAAAAAAGACUGGGUGGCAGCCAAGAGAGUACUCAGGUAUUUAAAGGGAACUAUGGAACAAAAAUUAAUUCUCAAUGUGCAUAAAGAACCAUGCAUACAUGCAUAUGCUGACUCUAGCUGGGGGGAUCAUGAUAGGAGAUCNACCAGUGGAUAUGCAGUGUAUAUAAACGGGGCUCUAGUAGCCUGGAAGGCUCGAAAACAGUCCCUAAUUGCAUUGAGUAGCUNUGAAGCAGAAUUUGCNGCAAUCAGUGACACUUGCACACAAUUGGAGUGGAUAAAUCAACUGUCCAUAGACAUGGAGCAUGUACCACAAAUUCCAAUCAGAGUGUUUUGUGACAAUGAUGCAGCAAUUCAAAUAGCUAACGUUCACAGUGUAAAGUCAANGAGUAAACACAUUGGUAUAAGAUACCAGAAUGUUAGGCACCUGGUGACUCAAAAAUUC
rnacentral:lncRNA from 1 species